rnacentral:rRNA from 1 species
UACGUAGGUGGCAAGCGUUAUCCGGAUUUACUGGGUGUAAAGGGCGCGUAGGCGGGGAUGCAAGUCAGAUGUGAAAUCCAUGGGCUCAACUCAUGAACUGCAUUUGAAACUGUAUCUCUUGAGUGCUGGAGAGGUAGAUGGAAUUCCUUGUGUAGCGGUGAAAUGCGUAGAUAUAAGGAAGAACACCAGUGGCGAAGGCGAUCUACUGGACAGUAACUGACGCUGAGGCGCGAGAGCGUGGGGAGCAAACAGG